CCCAUUCCCAAAUCCUCCUCAAGAAAUGGCUCUCCACACCCUCCUUCUGAUCCUCUUAGCUCUCAACCACUUUCAAUCUUCUACCUCUCUAAUUUCCACCCCCGAUCUGAAUUCUCGCUACCCGAGUCCCAGAGCCAUCUCGGAUUUGAAGGAGGCGAUAGUGAAAGGGAUGGGAUUCCAAGCCGAUGAUCUGAAGAUAUCGGGGUUUGAUCUGAGGGAAGCGCAGGUGGGGCAUUCGGUGGCGUAUGAGUUUGACGUGGAGGUAGAUAACAAGGUGCUGCCUUUUAAGCUUUUGGAGGAUGUUGACCGCUGGGAGUACGUUGACCUCCCGUUGUUUCGGGUCGAGGAUGAGAACGGGUUGGUCCAGAAGGAGAAGCUGGAUCAAGGCUUGCCUCCGGUUUUGGCUCCGUUUCAGUUGGCCGGCCCGAUGGAGCUGUGGAUUCAGGACGGUAAAGACAUGAGGCUAUCGCUUCCGCAUGAUGUGGAUGCUGGUGUGUUGAAGAAGGUGAUUUUAGCAGAAGGGGCUGUGGUUACCGUGACGGGUGCUAGGUCAGUGAGCCUAAGGCACCCUCUUCAGCUCCCAUUGCCAUUGAAUCGAACUAGCAGUGGUGUUGCUUCUGGGCUUGUUGCCCUAGCUGAAUGGCUACGUCAUGCUUCUAGAACCGAAUCAGCUCCGUUGCUGUCUCUCCGUAUUGUUGGUCCAACUGCUCUUACAUCCCCUGCUUCAACCUCAUCCUCCAUGAACAACAAGCUCAAGCUUAAGCGGCUUGCUCCUGGCCUUGUGGAGUUGUCAUCACCAGCUAACACAAGACCCAUGUCUGUUGAGCUACAAAACCAAGAGACCACCAUUUUAACUCCAAAAUAUUUCACAACUGUUUGGCCCCUUACUUCUGUUAAUGGGUCGAAUGGCAACUUGCUGGCUUUUGAGACACUGCUUUCGACUGUUCUUGGUCCCAAGGCAAACCAAAAAGGCUCCUUUAAAUUGUUGAAGGCAGAUGUGUCGGCGCAGACGUUUUUGAAGAUUGGGUUUGGGGUGGAGAAGAAGGUGAAAGAAGGAAAUGGGAUAGACUGGACAGGUUUUCCAGCAUGGAGGACAAAGCCUGAGACUGUAAGGAUGCAUUUUGAGGUGCUCGCCAAGGUUGAUGGUGAUAAAAUUGUGCCAGAGAGAGUGGUUCCAGUUAACCCUGUCAUCUUGGAGGAUACUAUCACACCUAAUGUCCUGUCCGGGAAUGUCUCCAUGUCCAGGACCCCGUAGCUCAACCUCCCCCUAUUCCCUUCACCUUGUAAAUCGUCUUUUUUAUGGGAUUCUGGAUAGAGUCUGAUAGAGUAAAAAUGAAACAGUUUUUGUUUUGAAAGAUUAUGGGGUUAGAUGAGGUCUGAUACUGUAAAUAUACCAUACGUUACUAAAGGCUGCAAUUGUUUUUUCUCUCUUUGAUUGUCCAAUAAGGUUUGAGGAGUGAGAAUGUGAGGGCUGCUUUGUUAGUGUUAUGUAGCAUGUACACCAUGAAAGUGAAAUGAAGACAUGUUUUCUUAUAUAUACUUUACAUUAAGCUUCGUAUGUUUGAACUUGCAAGGUUAAAUAUGUGACGGUAUAAUACUACCUGGUUUAUUCAUGUCCUCCAAGUACAUUCAGAGAAACAACAGCAACUAUCAGAUCCCUUGUAAGUGACUAAAAUUUACUUCCUGAUGAAUGAAACACCCUUUUCGAUGCUUCCUGCCAACUCUCUUUUUGCCUUCUCUAAACCGAUCCUGCUGACGGCCAAGACAAUAGAGUUUGUAAGAGGAAAUGAAGAAG